ensembl:lncRNA
AGAAGCUGCUGGAGGUUCAGGGGCAAGGGAAGUCUAGCCGCCAUAAGAAUCGAGUGGCGCUCAUGUUCAAGGCCUCGGAGGCCAACCUGGACAGGACAGCCUUACUCAUAGCCAACAACCCCCUUCCUGACCUCCAUAACCUGAAGGAGGGUGACAGCCCCACCAAAUACCUGGCAGGCAACCCCCCCGCCCCCGCCCCCGCCAAGAGGCUUGAAGCCAUUCGGGGUCGUCAGAGUGGUUUGCCUCCUCUGAAACAUCCUUUUAAAUUGCCAUCUGGGAUGAGAAGAGAUGUCAGCAAGCGGAGCAGCAGAGCUCCAUCAUGGGUGCAAACGAGUCUCUGUGUGCAGUUCUCUGAGGAUAGGUCAACGUUUUCAGACAGGGACAACUGGCAAGAAGGUACUGCCCUAGAUCUGACCCAGAGCACUGAGGUCAAAGAUCAGUGUAGUGAACUGUGUGAGCCCCUCACUCUCUCAGCCCUGCUGGAGACUGCAGUCACAGUAACAGCACCAGGACAGGGGGCGUUCCGCUACGGACAGACCGCCUACUGGAACGUGACCAACAGCUGUGAACUGCCGCCAUGACUUCUGAUGUCUGGACCUUUCAAUGCAUGCACACACUAGCUGUUUGCCAACUAUGUGUUGAAAUUCAGCAAUAAAUACUUUAUGGUUUAAA